ACGACGUCGGAUGUAGACACCAGCUACUGCAGGCGGCGAUCCGGGAAGCCCAAAAACCGAGGCCCAGCGAGGAGGGAUGAGUCAGAAUGACAACGGUCUAUCACCUCACUCGCUGGCCGACUCAGUGAGUCGUCGUCUCCGUCUCUCACUCUCUCUCUCUCACACCAAACCAAAGCAAAGCCUUUUCCACUCUCUCUCUACCACUGCGCACACGCCUUCCCUUUCUCUUUCUCUAUCUCUAUUAUCCCUCUGCCCUUUUUCGUCUUUUUCUCUCGUCCUCUUCGGCCUCCCCAAUCAGACAGCCCUCCUCCCUCCACGUCACCAUCGUCUUCUUCAUCCCUGCGACCCCUCUUUCUCUUUCUCUAUUUAUAACCGCCUCGCCCCUAGGGUUCCACAGAUUUACCCCCAACACAAUCCGUCUCUCUCUCGCUCUGAGCACCACAAAUUCUCGUACCUCCGCGACACCUUCGAUGUCUCGAACUUUUCCCUCUGCUCUCCAAUUUCGCCAUAGAAGCUCUUCGACUCACGAAUGAGGGUUUUGAUUUGGCUCUGUCCGAUAACGGUUGGGAAUUCUUGAUAUUUGGUUAAUUGGGUAGUUGGGGGUGAUUUGGGUGUGUUAAUGUUCCAUGGCGAUUGAGAAGAAUAACUUUAAGGUGUCGAGGUUUGAUUCGGAGUUUUCUCCCGGUAGUAGGGAGACUGUGUCGAGUGAUGAGGAUGAGCUGCAACGGCGUAGCUCGGCCGUUGAAUCUGACGACGAGGAUGAAUUUGAUGAUGCGGAUUCUGGGGCAGGGUCCGACGACUUUGAUUUGCUGGAAUUGGGAGAAACAAGGGCGGAGUUUUGCCAAGUCGGGAAUCAGACUUGCAGUAUUCCAUUGGAGCUGUAUGAUCUUCCGGGUCUGGAAGAUAUAUUGUCGGUGGAUGUGUGGAAUGAGUGCUUGACUGAGGAGGAGAGGUUAAGCCUCACGAAAUUUCUGCCCGACAUGGACGAAGAGACCUUUAUGAUUACUCUAAAAGAGCUUUUUACGGGUUGUAAUUUGCACUUUGGGAGCCCCAUUAAGAAUUUGUUUGAUAUGUUGAAGGGAGGUUUGUGUGAGCCAAGGGUAGCUCUGUACCGGGAAGGUUUGAAUUUCUUUCAGAAGCGGCAACACUACCAUCAUUUAAGGAAGUAUCAGAACAAUAUGGUUAGUAACCUUUGUCAGACAAGGGAUGCUUGGCUUAAGUGUAGGGGAUACAGUAUUGAUGAGAGGCUUCGUGUGUUGAAUAUUAUGAAAAGCGAGAAGAGUUUGAUGUAUGAGAAGAUGGAAGAUCUGCAGACUGACUCGUCAGAAAGAGAGUCAGGUGAACGGUUGUGGACCAAGAAGACGAAGGACAAGAAAGUUGUGCAGAAAACAGGUCGUCAUUCUGCAUAUGCAGUGGGCUCAAAUUUGGACUUUCCUUCACGAGGACGGUUGAUGGCUAUGGAUCUGGAAAAUUAUGGAAAGCAGUAUCCUAAAGGUACACUGAAGUUGGGUGGGUUGAAGCCGCCUUUGGCAAAAGAUUUGGUGGGCCACUAUCCUUCUGUUUACCAUGGUUUGGAUAUGAAUUCUGGACCAUAUGGUUCAGCUGCAGCUCUUCCUCGUCAGCGUAAGGCUGCAGCUUAUGAUUCAGCAACAGCGCUUAAGCUAAGGGAUCAGAUGAGAAGUGGUGAUGAUGUUGAAGAGAUGACAUAUGGAAUGGGUUUACAGUGGGACUCCAAAGUGGGAAAGAAACAGGGCCUUUCAAGAGGUGACGAUAUAGCCACUGACAGUUUUAUGGGUCUGCCUUUGUCUUCAAAAGGUGAUUUACCAGCCUUUGGUAGGAACAGGAAUUCGAUGACAGCAAAGCCAUCAAAUAUGAAACCAUCCUAUGACUUCGUCAAAAGGCCCAAGUAUACUGAGAAUGUUCAGCAAUUUGCAGUUGGGGAUCAGAUGAAGCCUUUCAAAGGCCGAGAUCUGCAGCGAACCCCCAAAGGAAAUAGAGUUGACUCAUCUGAUCAUGCCGAACCAUUUUGGCAUAAGAGGACUCAGGGCGAGUCUUUUGCCAUGGAUUCGUCAUUUAAAGCUGAUGAAUGGGAUAUUAGAAGCAAAAAAUGGAAGACAGGGAGGGAGUCCCCUGAUCUGAAUUACAAAUCAUAUAGAACUUCUUCACCACAAAUGAAUGAUAGAUAUUCAGUGUCUGCAUUUAAAGCAGAACCAUCACAAGAGAUGAUAAAAGGCAAGUAUCUGCAGAAUGGGAAGAAAAGUAAUAGAAUGUUUAUGAAAAGUGAAGACACAGAAUCAGACUCAUCCGAGCAAUUCGAUGAUGAUGAGGAUAGCAAUCCCUUAUUGAGGAGCAAGUUGGCUUUCCCCGGUGGUGUUCUCGAAGGUUCCCGAUCUAAUAAGUUGUCACAGUCUGGCCUAGAUUCCAAAAAGGCCAAAUUUGUUAAGAAAGAUACGAAGGGUGGCUUUGGUGAUCAUGGGCAUGUGCCAGGAGUAGAAAACUACACUUCAAGGCAGAGGGGUAAGAUUCGAGAUAGCAGUCCCUUGCAUGAACCUGACACUAGAGCUUUUGGAGACAGCUAUGUUUCAGGCUUGGGUAAGUUAAAUGAUGAUGGUGAUAGGAAACAAAUACACAAACUGAGCAAGAAUGGCAAGUUGCAUGGGGAACCUGUAGAAAGGUUACACAUAUCCUCAGUGAAGACCUAUUCUUCUGAGAGAAAGCAGAAAAGAGAUGCCAGCCGUGAUCAUUCUGUGCGUCAAUCAAUUUAUUUGCGUGAUGAUGUUGCUGUUGAGGAGGAUGAUUCGCUUGAAACACAAUUUUUGCCCAAUGAGAAGGGGCAGGGUAGAUUUGGGAAGAAAGGUCAGAGUAAAGAAGCACGUGUGAAUGAUCGGAAUGGAAGAUCUGAUGCUCCAUUGAUAAUGUGCAACUCAGUGACAAAGAAGCGGAAAGGAAAGGAGGAUGCAAUAGACAUGGAUAGCAGAGAUGAAGACGGUGAUCUGCAGUCUGACACCCCACAGCACAUUGAUGAUUCCACUCCUUUGAAGAGAAAAACAAAAAGGAAAAUGGACCAAGACUCUGGUGGUUCAGAUAUGGAAAACACUGGGCCACCUGUUACAGAAAUGGCAGUAGUAGAGAUGGAGCUGGAAGCCAAACCACAGAAAAAACAAUUUACCCUCAUUACACCUACAGUUCAUACUGGCUUCUCAUUUUCUGUUGUACAUCUUCUUUCAGCAGUUCGCUUGGCAAUGAUUACUCCACUUCCAGAAGAUUUAGAGGUUAGCAAACCUAGAGAAGAGCAUAACAAAAACCAAGAGGGCAGUGUUAACAGGGUUCCUUCUCAUGAGAAGGUGGAUAUCAAUGUUUCAGAGCAUGCUGGGGGGAAUGGGCCUUCUCUUACUGUUCAGGAGAUUGUUAAUCGUGUCAGGUCAAACCCUGGAGAUCCUUGUAUACUUGAGACGCAAGAGCCACUUCAGGAUUUGGUCAGAGGAGUUUUAAAGAUAUUUUCAUCCAAAACAGCACCUUUAGGAGCGAAAGGUUGGAAGGUGCUUGCAACAUAUGAAAAAUCUGCAAAAAGUUGGUCCUGGAUUGGUCCAGUGUCUCAUAGUUUAUCGGAUCACGAGACCAUUGAGGAAGUGACAUCUUCUGAAGCUUGGGGUCUUCCUCACAAAAUGCUUGUAAAGUUGGUUGAUUCCUUUGCUAACUGGCUGAAAAGUGGUCAGGAGACCCUUCAACAAAUAGGAAGUCUCCCUGCCCCACCUCUGGCAUUGAUGCAGUUCAACAUGGAUGAGAAAGAAAGGUUCAGGGACCUGAGAGCUCAAAAGAGUCUGAACACCAUUGGCCCAAGCUGUGAAGAAGUCCGGUCUUAUUUCCGUAAGGAGGAAGUUCUUAGGUAUUCAAUUCCUGACAGGGCCUUCACUUACACAGCAGCUGAUGGUAGAAAAUCCAUUGUCGCUCCCUUGAGAAGGUGCGGUGGUAAGCCUACGUCAAAAGCUCGAGAUCAUUUUAUGCUGAAACGUGAUCGCCCUCCACAUGUCACGAUUCUGUGUCUUGUCAGAGAUGCUGCUGCCAGAUUGCCUGGAAGUAUUGGUACUAGAGCAGAUGUUUGUACGUUGAUAAGAGAUUCUCAGUAUAUUGUUGAAGAUGUGUCUGAUGGACAAGUUAAUCAAGUUGUUAGUGGAGCCCUGGAUCGUUUGCAUUAUGAACGUGAUCCUUGUGUGCAAUUUGAUGGGGAAAGGAAAUUAUGGGUUUAUUUACACAGGGAAAGAGAAGAAGAAGAUUUUGAAGAUGAUGGUACUUCAUCUACGAAGAAAUGGAAGAGGCAGAAAAAAGAUCCUACUGAGCAAUCUGACCAAGGGGCAGUGACCGUUGCUUAUCAUGGGACUGGGGAUCAAACUGGAUAUGAUUUGUGCUCUGAUCUCAAUGUAGAGCCAUCUUGUAACGACGAUGAUAAGGGAAUGGAACCUGUAUAUAAUGAUGUGAGACAAAAUCUGGAGGACAAUGUUGAUAUGAAUCAAGGAUCUGAGCACAGUGACACUCAUCAGGAUAAUCCAGUGGCUUGGGAUGCUAUUGGCUUAAAUCCUAUGCGAGAAAACAAAUUGCUCUGUCAAGAAAAUUCCAGAAAUGAAGAUUUUGAUGAUGAAACAUUUGGGAGAGAAAGGCCGGUUGGACUCCUUAGUGCAAGCUUAUUGUGAGGAAUUCUUCAGGUUGAUGAUUAACCUACAUUGGAUGCCACGGUGAUUGCCACCCUAGGCGUGUGUUAUACAUUGUUGAUGGUAGUGACAUGUACAUUGAUGUCAACGGGAAAUGUAGAAUAGAAACUUGAUCUUGUUUGAGGCCCUUGAUUAUGUCCAGCACAGGUGGAUACGAAAAUGGAAUAGUAUAAAGCAAGCUGAUACAAGAGUGGGAACAGGAUGGAGUGCUCUUUGAUUUAGAAGUGAUAAAGCCCCUUCCGAGUCACCACUACCAUCUUUCCUCCAAAUCUAAUCUUCACAUUUCCUAAUGGCAGGCAAUUGUGAAGGAAUGAUUUGCCCCAAUUGUAUAGUGGAUUGAUGGUCUCUUGUAACACAAUUGGAAUUCAUGACGCGUUCUUAAUAACGAAUGAGCUUGUGGAUAA